rnacentral:misc_RNA from 1 species
GGAAGUAAAAGUCUAACAAGGUCUCCGUUGGUGAACCAGCGGAGGGAUCAUUACCGAGUUUACAACUCCCAAACCCAAUGUGAACCAUACCAAACUGUUGCCUCGGCGGGGUCACGCCCCGGGUGCGUCGCAGCCCCGGAACCAGGCGCCCGCCGGAGGGACCAACCAAACUCUUUCUGUAGUCCCCUCGCGGACGUUAUUUUUACAGCUCUGAGCAAAAAUUCAAAAUGAAUCAAAACUUUCAACAACGGAUCUCUUGGUUCUG